UACAGAGGGUGCAAGCGUUGUUCGGAAUUAUUGGGCGUAAAGCGUGUGUAGGCGGCUUUGCAAGUCGGGUGUGAAAGCCCUCAACUCAACUGAGGAAGUGCGCCCGAAACUGCAGAGCUUGAGUGCCGGAGAGGGUGGCGGAAUUCCCCAAGUAGAGGUGAAAUUCGUAGAUAUGGGGAGGAACACCGGUGGCGAAGGCGGCCACAUGGACGAUAACUGACGCUGAGACGCGAAAGCGUGGGGAGCAAACAGG
rnacentral:rRNA from 1 species